CCUACGGGUGGCAGCAGUGGGGAAUAUUGGACAAUGGGCGAAAGCCUGAUCCAGCCAUGCCGCGUGUGUGAAGAAGGCCUUCGGGUUGUAAAGCACUUUCAGUGGGGAAGAAAGCCUUGGGGCUAAUACCCUCGAGGAAGGACAUCACCCACAGAAGAAGCACCGGCUAACUCCGUGCCAGCAGCCGCGGUAAUACGGAGGGUGCGAGCGUUAAUCGGAAUUACUGGGCGUAAAGCGCGCGUAGGCGGUCUGAUAAGCCGGUUGUGAAAGCCCCGGGCUCAACCUGGGAACGGCAUCCGGAACUGUCAGGCUAGAGUGCAGGAGAGGAAGGUAGAAUUCCCGGUGUAGCGGUGAAAUGCGUAGAGAUCGGGAGGAAUACCAGGGGCGAAGGCGGCCUUCUGGACUGACACUGACGCUGAGGUGCGAAAGCGUGGGUAGCAAACAGGAUUAGAUACCCCUGUAGUC
rnacentral:rRNA from 1 species